CUCAUAUCAGAAAUCAUCAUAACAAAAUUGGUCCUUCAGGUGAUUACAGAGUGAAGAUGGAUUAUGACCCCCAGAGAGCAGGUGCACGUCCAUGGAGGGCUGUGCGACCUCCAGGAUGGAUGACUCAGUAUGAAGGCUACACACUGCCACAACUGCUACAUUGGAGCAACAGCAGACUAGAGAAGGAUACGCCAAGAUGACGCCCCUCACCCAGACUCCUGGUUCUAUUGGAGCUGCAGGACAGACCCCAGUGUCAUCCAGCAUCCCUCAGGAGUUCAUGAACAUUGUGCAGCAACUGCAGAAGACAACAGGCAACUUCAGCUGAUGGUAGGAGACAUGAGGAGGCAGAUGGACCGUAAUGUCACCACGUUGGAACCAACCUGCUUACGUUCUGCCCAGCAACCAGGGGGCUACAUUUCAGCUGAUGACACUUGGGUCUCCACACCUCUAACUACACAGCCUUUUCCCCUGAGACCAGAGCAGCACAAUAUAUCCUACACACAGGAUGCAGCUGAAGAAUGGCCAGUACCACCACCUCCAGUUUUUCUCCCGAGAGAUCAUUCUGAUCUACCAGAGGUACAGUCUUUUCCACCUCCACGGCUACCAGCCAUUGCACAAGAGCAUAGCCAACGCUUACAAGAGCUACAGUUACAGCAACCCUCAGCCACUGAAGCUCCUGACUUUCAGCCUUGUGCACCACAGUCCACCCCCUUAUCUCGAUCACUAGCUGGACCUAGUUUCGACGCGAACAUGCUCCCCCCAGAACAAGUGUUGGCUCCCACUACAGCUGUAGCUGUAAAGGAGAAGACCUACAGAGGACCAUCGCCCUCCAUCCCAGAGUUCACGAAGGGUGAUCCCAGGCAGUUUGCUAGAUUAAGGCUUGCCCUAGACAAUAUUCUCCCCUUUGAUGCAACCGAGAGGUUCAAAUAUCAGGUCUUAUGUGACCACCUUAAGUUUGAGGAAGCUCUUUUAAUUGCUGACUCCUACAGUAACUCACCUCACCCCUACUUUGACACGAUGGCCUCGCUCACUAAACAUUACGGUCAGCCGCACCAGCUGUCACUGCAGAGGAUAGCAAAGCUUAUGGAUGAGCCCAGCAUCCGCCCAGGUGACACAACUGGAUUCAGAAGGUUUGCACUGAGAGUCCGUGCUCUGGUCGGCAUGUUAGAGCAACUUGGGGAAGAUGGACACAUAGAGCUGCAAUGCGGGUCUCAUGUUGCUAGACUGACACGAAAGCUACCCCGAGACCUACGUGCUGCUUUCCGCCGCUACCUUUACCCACAGAAAGAUGGAAUACCAUCAUUGAGAGACUUUGCAGAGUGGCUGGAGUAUGAGCUGGUCAUUCAAGAGGGCGGAGAUCACACAGAGAAGGUAGAGGAGAGCUCGAGAGACAGGAGCAGCAUGAAAAGAGAUAAAAGAGCCACCAAAAGGACUACCACCGUGCUGCACGGUGCAACACACAACACUGCCCCCCAAAGGUCCUCAGCCACAACCCCUUACACUUCUGAGGUCCAAGACAAGCCCACAGCUUAUUGUCCAUAUUGUAAUAACACUCUGCACUUCCUAGAUCAAUGUGUCAACUUCAAGAUGCUGACUAAGGAGCAGAAAUCAACUUGGAUUAAGUCCAACAAUCGCUGCUGGUGUUGUGGGCGGCACCACCAGGCCGCUCAGUGUUGACUUAAAAUGCAGUGUAAGGCAUGCAGGGGAAAACACCUAGAGGCCCUCCAUGAAGUGAAUCUCAGACCUGCUGCACCCAAUCCACCAAUGGAACACGUCGCUGUGCUUCUGAAGAUAACCAAAGUGCUCCUGCAGAACGGUGAGCACACCCUGGAGACAUUCGCCAUAUUGGAUGAUGGAUCUGAGAGGACGAUCCUUCUCCCUGAGGCCACUCAAAGACUGCAGUUACAGGGCAUGGCAGAGAGUCUUACUCUACGUAUGGUGAGACAAGGAUUGAGAACCUUGCAUGGUGCAUCAGUGACAGUCAAAGUCUCCCCUGCCAGCCAACCAUCCAGAACAUUCACCAUUGAGAGAGCCUUCACAGCUGAUGACCUAGGCUUGGCUGAGCAUUCAUACCCCGUGAAAGCACUUCAACAGAAAUAUAGACACUUGAGAAGGCUUCCCUUGCAGCCCUUCACAAAUGCCCAGCCACUCCUUCUGAUCGGCUCUGACUGUCCUCACCUAGUAACGCCCAUCAAACCUGUGCGCCUAGGCUUACCUGGAGGACCAGCUGCAGUCAAGACUAGACUUGGUUGGGUACUACAGGGACCAAUUGUUAACUUGUUAUUUUCUGUUUUAUCGCGAGAGUACUGUUGCCCGCGAAGUGUUGUUGUUGUGGUGGGUAUAAAAAAUGGCGGAACGAAUAAAGCGCUGUGAAUGAGAGUACGACGUCGUGUCUUUUGAGUUAACAUUGGUAGCAGAGGAUGGUUUCCAAUUACAAAGUACCACCAAAGCUUGAUGAAGCCAGGCCAUACGAAUGCUGGAAGAAUGAAGUCAAUAUCUGGAGACGAGUUACAGAGCUGGAUAAAAAGAAACAGGCACUCGCGGUGGCGCUGGGGCUCGAGGGAAGAGCCAGAGAAACGGCCAUGGAGAUACCCGCGGAAGAUUUGGACAAAGAUGACGGUAUGGAAAUACUACUUGCAAAACUUGACGCGGUGUUUCAGAGAGAAGAGAAAGACCGCGUUUAUGAAGCCUACUCGUGUUUUGACUCCAUUGCAAAGAACCACAGCAUGUCGAUGGCAGACUACAUUAUAGACUUUGAACAGCGUUAUAACCGGAUGAAAAAGUACAACAUGACGCUGCCUGACGCUGUGCUAGCAUUUAAGCUUCUAGAUACAGCUUGUCUUGAUGAGAAAAGUCGACAGCUUGCACUGACAGCGUGCACGGACUUAACGUUUGCGUCUAUGAAGUCUGCACUGAAACGGAUUUUCGGAGGGAAAGUAACCGGAGUUUUCAGCGGAAUUCAACUGAACCAAGAAGCAGUUUUCCUUACGGAACAAAAAGGUCCCAAAUACAAACGAAACAACGGUACUUCGUCGCGGAGUGGACAGCAACAACCACUACAAGGUACCAACCCAGUUGACAAGUUUGGCAAGCGAACAAGAUGUGCUAUUUGUCAGAGCACUUACCACUGGGCGAAAGACUGUCCUCAUUGUAAUGGUGACCAAGUAAAGCUAACUGAAGAUGGGAAAGUGGAGGAGUGUAACAUUACUUUGUACACUAAAGCCUCAAUGACAGACUCUGAAAUCUUCCUGACUGAGGCACUGGGGUCAGCCAUUAUUGAUACUGCAUGUACACGUACAGUUUGUGGUCAGAAGUGGCUAGAUAGUUACAUGCGUGACCUCAGCCAAGGCCAAGUAAACAAGCUGUUGCAAUCAGAAACCCCCAGCUCCAGACCAUUUCGCUUUGGGGAUGGUAUUGUAGUGUAUUCCAGCAGAAAAGUGAAACUUCCAGCCAAAAUUGGACAAACAAAAUGUGACAUUGAAAGUGAAGUAGUUCCUGUUGACAUUCCACUACUACUGAGCAAAACGUCUCUCAAGAAAGCAGGGACUGUUCUAGACAUGGAGAAUGACAGUGUUGUCAUGUUCAAGCAGCCUGUUCCCCUAGAGCUCACUAGUUCGGGACACUAUUGUGUGGACAUUAGAGAUGAAAAUACUACAGAAAGCUGCAAUGAAAAUGAAGUUCUCAUGGUAACUGCUGAAAUGUCUACAAAAGAGAAACAGAAAGUCCUUGUGAAACUUCAUAAGCAGUUUGGUCAUGCAUCUGCAGAGAGGUUAUUGAGGCUCAUCCAAAGCUCUGGCAAUACAGAUAAACAAUGUGCAGUUAUUCUACAAGAGAUAGUUCGUGACUGUGACAUUUGUCAGAAAUAUUGCAAAACCAAGCCGAGACCUACUGUUGGUCUACCCCUGGCUUCUGAGUAUAAUGAGACAGUAGCGAUGGAUCUACAUGAGCUGGAGCCCAAUGUGUGGUACCUUCACAUCAUCGACCACUUCACACGCUUCAGUGCCGGCAGCAUCGUAAAGACAAAGAAAGCUGCAGAGAUCGUCAACUCCUUCAUUCACACCUGGAUAAGCAUUCACGGUGCCCCCAGACGGCUCUACACAGACAACGACGGAGAGUUCAACAACACAGACAAUCGGGACAUGGCUGAAAACUUCAACAUUGAGGUAAAAACAACGGCGGGGUAUAGUCCCUGGAGCAACGGACUACUGGAGAGACAUAACAUGACACUUACAGAAAUCCUCCUGAAGGUAAAAAAGGAAUGAGGAUGUGACUGGCACACUGCGCUAGACUGGGCCCUUAUGGCCAAAAACAGUAUGCUUAAUGUACAUGGUUAUAGUCCACAUCAACUUGUGUUUGGCCAAAACCCCAACCUUCCUUCUGUGUUGAUGGAUAAGCCACCUGCCUUAGAGGGCACAACUGUAAGUGCAAGAGUAGCUGAACAUAUCUCAGCAUUACAUGCUUCCAGGAAAGCAUUUACUGAGGCAGAGUGUUCAGAAAGGAUCAGGAGAGCACUACGCAAACAACUUGGGCCUACAGAUGACAAAUAUGAGGCAGGAGAUAAAGUAUACUACAAACGAGUCGACUGUACAGAGUGGAAGGGUCCAGGUGUAGUUAUUGGGCAGGAUGGAACUGUUGUAUUUGUAAGACAUGGGGGGACUCUUGUAAGAGUACACCAGUCAAGAUUGACUAAAGUGGAUUCACAGACUGGAGAUAAACAAAUACCACACAGUACUACUGAUGAUGACAACAAAGACGCAGUUGAAAAUGAUGACACUGACACACCCGAUGGUGAACAGAGUAUUAGUGAGGAAGAAGACAUCACUAUUGACAGAGAAACUAACACUAUUGACAGAGAAACUAACACUACAGAAAACAUGUCUGUCACACAAACUGCAAAUGAGCCCUCUACACCCACUGAUCAUGUCUCUGCAAAUGUAAAGUUAAGAUAAGGACAGCUGAUUGCUUUUACCAACAGAGACAACGGUGUUCAACACACAGCCAGAGUGCUAGGCAGAGCGGGAAAAGCAAAAGGGCAAUACAAAAACUGGUACAAUGUGCAAUAUCUUGAGCAUGAUGGUAGUGAAGGUGAAAAGAAAGCUGUAGACAUGUCACUUGUUGAUGGUCUUUGCACUGAAGCUGAAAACAGAGAUGCAGAUGUACUCACAACAAAAGAUAUUUCCUUUGAUUCUGCUAAGCAGCAGGAGAUUGAGAGCUGGCAAAGUAAUGGUGUGUUUGAUGAAGUGAAAGACCUGGGUCAAAAAUGUGUGUCUACUAAAUGGGUCUGUACACUCAAAGAAACUACUAAUGGUGUUGUCCCAAAGGCUCGACUUGUGACACGGGGGUUUGAAGAGGGAAUGGAACUGUCAAGAGACAUCUAUCUUCGUCCCCCACCUGAAGCUGGCAAGGACAAUGUUCUAUGGAAACUGAAAAAGUGUGUUUAUGGACUUGCAGAUGCUUCACUUUAUUGGUACAAUAAGGUCAAAGACAUUAUGCUCAAAACUGGUGGUAAAAUAUCACAGGUUGAUCCUGCAGUGUUCUAUUGGCAGAAUGAACAAUCUGAGGUUACAGGAGUGCUUGCAUGUCACGUUGAUGAUUUCCUUUGGGCUGGUUCAAGUCACUUUGCAACUCAUAUCAUUCCUGUACUGAGAUCUACCUUCCUUGUGGGCCGUGAAGAACAUGACAGCUUUUCUUAUGUUGGUAUGGACAUUUGUACAGUUAAUGAUGUAAUAGAGGUGCAUCAACAACUUUACAUUGACAACCUACAACCGGUUCAGUUACAAGCAGCACGGGCUGUACAGAGGGAGGCUUCCUUAAGUGAAACAGAACGUGAGCAACUCAGGUCAAAAAUAGGACAGAUUUUGUGGGUUGCCAAACAAACAAGGCCUGAUGUUAUGUUUGACACAUGUAGCCUUGGAUCUAAUAUCAAAGAUGCAACUGUACAGUCCAUUCAUGAAGUGAACAAAGUUAUCCGUAAACUUAAGGCAGAGAAAGUGACUCUUAAGUUUCGGUAACAGUGGGUAACAGUGAGGAUCAUUUGGCAACCUUCCUGAUGGCGGUACUCAAGGAGGGGCAUUAAUCGUCCUUAUGGGUAAAGGAGGAAAGUUUUGUUCUCUUUUCUGGCAGUCUAAAAAAAUCAGGCGCGUGGUCAGAAGUACACUGGCAGGAGAAACUCUUGCCAUGUCAGAUGGAAUAGACAGUGCUGUCUUCCUGGCAACACUUUUUUCUGAGCUUACAACUGGUAACACUGGUCUAAACGCUCUUCCUUUGAUCUGUGUAACUGAUAAUCAUUCCUUGUUUGAUGCACUCAAGUCUACUAAGCAGGUUACAGAGAAGAGACUGAGGCUAGAAAUGAGCAGCAUUAAAGAGCUCAUACAAGCCAAGAAAAUCAGACAGGUUUGUUGGUCAGAUUCAAAAUCUCAACUUGCUGAUUGUCUGACAAAAAAGGGAGUUUCACCUUUAACCCUUCUAAAGGCGCUAGAUGAAGGACUCUGGAUACUGUAAUCCUUUGUCUACAAAGUUGUCUUUGCAUUCAAAUGUACCAUUGGUUAUUGUGUGCAAUGAUAGUAUGCUUUAAGUAAAGCAAAGCACUUUUGAAAUGUUUUUUUUGUUUAUAUAAAUAUAUACAUAUAUGUAUACAAAUGUUUACAGGGGUGUGUUUAUACUUUUAUUUAAUUUUUUUUUAAGAAAGAGGGAGAUUGUUAACUUGUUAUUUUCUGUUUUAUCGCGAGAGUACUGUUGCCCGCGAAGUGUUGUUGUUGUGGUGGGUAUAAAAAAUGGCGGAACGAAUAAAGCGCUGUGAAUGAGAAUACGACGUCAUGUCUUUUGAGUUAACACCAAUCCCCUCCCUUAAGCACUAUGCUCAACCGCGAUAGUGCCUC
ensembl:lncRNA